rnacentral:rRNA from 1 species
UGGGGAAUUUUGGACAAUGGGCGAAAGCCUGAUCCAGCCAUGCCGCGUGAGUGAAGAAGGCCUUCGGGUUGUAAAGCUCUUUUAGCCGGAAAGAAAAGAUCAUAAUGAACAAUUAUGAUUCAUGACGGUACCGACAGAAAAAGCACCGGCUAACUACGUGCCAGCAGCCGCGGUAAUACGUAGGGUGCGAGCGUUAAUCGGAAUUACUGGGCGUAAAGGGUGCGCAGGCGGUCUUGCAAGUCAGAUGUGAAAGCCCCGGGCUUAACCUGGGAAUUGCGUUUGAAACUACAAGACUAGAGUGCAGCAGAGGGGAGUGGAAUUCCAUGUGUAGCAGUGAAAUGCGUAGAGAUGUGGAAGAACACCGAUGGCGAAGGCAGCUCCCUGGGUUGACACUGGCGCUCAUGCACGAAAGCGUGGGGAGCAAACA